rnacentral:rRNA from 1 species
UGGGGAAUAUUGGACAAUGGGCGAAAGCCUGAUCCAGCCAUGCCGCGUGUGUGAAGAAGGUCUUCGGAUUGUAAAGCACUUUAAGUUGGGAGGAAGGGCAGUUACCUAAUACGUGAUUGUUUUGACGUUACCGACAGAAUAAGCACCGGCUAACUCUGUGCCAGCAGCCGCGGUAAUACAGAGGGUGCAAGCGUUAAUCGGCAUUACUGGGCGUAAAGCGCGCGUAGGUGGUUUGUUAAGUUGGAUGUGAAAUCCCCGGGCUCAACCUGGGAACUGCAUUCAAAACUGACUGACUAGAGUAUGGUAGAGGGUGGUGGAAUUUCCUGUGUAGCGGUGAAAUGCGUAGAUAUAGGAAGGAACACCAGUGGCGAAGGCGACCACCUGGACUAAUACUGACACUGAGGUGCGAAAGCGUGGGGAGCAAACA